UUUACAGUCUUAAACCAGACACCACUCAGACAAAGGAAAGAAAAAAACAAUGAAGAGAAAAUACAGAUAUUAUGGUUAAAGGUUGAGGUGCGACUUCAGUUAACAGGAGCAGUACACUACUUGUUUUCAUCAAAUUUGAUAAUAUACCAAGAAGACAUGGUGCUUAUAUUUAUGGCAUCAUUGGAAUUCAAAUGGUAAAAGAUAAAGGCUUGGAAGAGGUUUGGAAACAAAAUCAAGAAGUGGAAUUUCAGCAAGCUCGCUAAGCCAGCUUCUAGCGGGCUUAUCCAGACUAAAUCCAGUAACUUCCCAAUUUUAAUAGCGCGCUUAGCGGACCAACCGCGCUAAGCAGAGUCAACUUGAAGGAAGAUAUUUUCGCUAGCUUGCUUAGCGCGCCAUGCUGGCUAAGCGAGAUCACUUUUUGAGGCACUUGUGGAAGGAGACACUUGAAAUAUUUUUGGUGUUUUUAUCCUUAUCUUUCUUACCAACUUUUACAACACAAGUUCUAGGGCAAGAAAGAGGAUGUGAGAAAAAGAAGUUCAAGAAAAAAUAUUCAAGAUUUACCAUCAUCUUUUCUUCAUCUUUUGGGUUUUGAUGUUUAUAAAUCUUUUAUGGUUACUUGUUGUUGAAGCUUCCAUGGCUAUGGAGAGAUAAACCUCUUUUGUGUCAAGAUUAGAGGUAGUUAACUUGUAUAGUGUGUAUUUCUUUUGAUCUUUUGAUGUAUGA